CGGACGGGUGAGUAAUGCCUAGGAAUCUGCCUGGUAGUGGGGGACAACGUUUCGAAAGGAACGCUAAUACCGCAUACGUCCUACGGGAGAAAGCAGGGGACCUUCGGGCCUUGCGCUAUCAGAUGAGCCUAGGUCGGAUUAGCUAGUUGGUGAGGUAAUGGCUCACCAAGGCGACGAUCCGUAACUGGCUGAGAGGAUGAUCAGUCACACUGGAACUGAGACACGGUCCAGACUCCUACGGGAGGCAGCAGGC
rnacentral:rRNA from 1 species